CUCUUUCCAGCGCAGAUCGAUACAACGGAGUCUGCGUCUCCAAUCCGUAUGUAUAUAUAGUUGGGUAGCUUGCGGUACACCCGGUAUAUUCCCCAGGCGUACAGGGUGCUCUAAAUUCAACGGUUCUGCUACGUGUUUCAAGGAGAUUACUCGUAGGAACAAGGAAAGGAAAGGAUUAUGCCACUGGAGUGCAUCUCUGUGAGACCAAAUCAUGGAAAAGAAUGAGACGAGUAAAAGGGAAACAGAAGAUUCGAAUAUUAUUAGAACGAGACGUAAGAGAUUGAUGUAAUAUUAGAUAAUUAAGAUAAGAAUAUACUAAUCAUUGAAUUGUAAAUAAAAGAGAGAGAGAGAGUGAGAGAGAGAGAGAGAGAGAGAGAUGCAUAUAUAAGUAUAAAUAAUAAUAUAAAAGGAUACAUUCGUAAUUCACAAUUCUAUAGAUUUAUUCGACAUAAGAGAUACGGAAAUAAUUACGGGAGAUGAUAAGAAAAAAAAAAAAAGAAGAAAAAAAAAAGGAAAGAAAAGGUACGGAUGAAAAUAUUAUUAGAAAUCGACGUAAGGAUAUUAAAGAUUUUGUUUAUGGCAUGAUUUGUGAGGGGGGAGGGUGGUAUUACGACCAGUAUAUUACGAGUCAGUAGUUACGAAAAGGGUUAGAAUGAAAGGGGUCGAAUGAAAAUAAGAAUACCUAUGGAAUAUACCAUGGAAUACCAUAAAUUAAAAA
rnacentral:lncRNA from 1 species